rnacentral:lncRNA from 1 species
UCCAGGGACAAGGACAGUCAAUGAGCAAUCUUUCAACCUUUUCCUGUGGUUCCGAUGAGCAGUCAGGUUUGAGACGUGCUGCUUGACACAGUGAUACUCUCUCCCUUUCCACCUCCUUUUCAGGCCCGCUUGGCUGUGGUUUACUUUUACACAUGUAUGUCAAUAGCUUCAACGUGCCCCAUCAUUCGACUUUUCUCAGGUUAGCCAAACACUCUUACGUGACCAAUGGGGUUCUGAACCAGAAGCUUAGAACUUGGAUCCUAGAUGUGAGAAAUCAUUUUCUGUAUGACCUUGGCGAAGUUGUUCCAUUGCUCAGUGUCUGAUUUUCUCCACUGGUAAUAUACAAGUAUUCAAGCCUUGCAUCUGCCAACCUAAGCAAAAAUAUCUACAUGAAAUAUAUUGAGCUGGGAAAUAAAUUUUGAAGGAACUUCAGAAGAAUUAGAUCUACAGCUUCGUAUAUUAGAUCUUGGGGAAAACUUCAGCCUGGCUGAAUUAAAAUACAGACAUGUGGUUCUAUAAUUUAUGGAAAUGUAUAUAUAUAAUAAGGACAGAUUAUUUUCAUCUUCUUAGAAGCAUGAUCCUGCCUGAAGGGGCAGAGUUGGCCCAAGCUGUCUUUGAGAUUAUUUAUAGGGACACUAUAUAUUAAUGACCUAGGGCUUUUCAUCAGACUUGCAUACCAAAUGCAUCAUUUGUGUAUAGUUUCUGGAGGUGUGGGGGACUUUGAAAAAGAACCUACCUUCUGCUUCAUUUCCUUGCCUUUGCAGACAUAGCGCUGUUUUAAUCCAGCACAGAUGAAGAAGGUGGUCAUCCUCCUUGGAACGGAGACUGCACAGCCUGGCCUUCAUGGCGAGGCUCCCUUCUUCUACCUUCACUGCUUCCCAGCCCGAUGCCAACUAUACACUCUGGGUGUCUACAUGGGGAGCCUCAGCAUCCCUGGCCCGAUGGGUGAACCCAGGGGCUCCUGUCUUUGACUCCUCACCUCCUUCCCUGCUGCCCUGAGCUUGAAUCUUCCUGCAGACUCUAGCCUGCUGCCAACCACUGGAUGUGAUGUGGCCCCGAGCCGGGAGGCUAUGCAGGUUCUAUCCACAGAUAUGGACAUGCAGCCUAAUUCUUUAAACCCCUCCUGGAAGGAUGUACUUGUUGUAAGGAUGCAUGAGUAUGUGUGCUUGUUUACUCAAGCCUUGUCUCCCACCUUCUGGACUUUAAGCCUCUUGAGAGAGGGAGAGGCCAGGCCACAUCACCCCGCUUAUUUUUUCAUUGCCAUGCCUGGCAUGAUGCCCAGCACUGAGUCGGCACCUGAAACCACUUCUGAAUAAAUAAAUACCCAGCGGUCACUAAGUGUGAAUGUUGCUGUAGGAAAGAAAGCUCUUUUGUUCUGUGAAAUUAAAUUCUCUUUCCCAUGCCAACAGGUAAGAAUUUUCUCUUUUGAAAAUGAGAAAAAAGGGUAUUUUAAAAUCGGCUGUCAAAUUUUAGUCCAGUUUUCUAAAAUGUUAAAAAAUCUUCCCACAAAACACACCUGUUUUAAACCUAGAUAAUUGGGUUUUACUGCCUUUCUGAAGAAAAAAUAAUAAUUAACAGAAAUAUUUGGCUAUGGUCUUCCAGGAUUUUAGCAACUAAUAUUGCACAAACAUCAUUAUGCCUCUACAUCAUACCCCAUAUCUUCUCCACACUACUGGUCACUCUUAAUUAGCCACUCUGUAUAGUAGGUGUGUAUGUUUUUUUAUUUCUUGAAGUUAUUGAGAACCUGGUAUGCAUAACUUGUAUUUUCUUUCUCUCUCUCUCUCUCUUUCCUUUACCCUCUAUGUCUCCCUCUAAUCUGAAAUAAUUUGGGUUUUAUGCAUGCAACCUUCCAUCCCAUCUUCACACCUAGGUGAAGUGACUCUUCCAAAAGGCACCAGCCAACAGGAGAGAAAGGAAGAAUAUGGGAGACAUACAGGGACAGAUCCAUGAUUCUUUCUGCAGAACCAGCCUGCUC